rfam:Sorghum bicolor cultivar BTx623 chromosome 3, whole genome shotgun sequence.
UUGUAACACGGACUGGUGCUAAAGGGUCCUGCCCAACGGCUACUGGUGCUGUCGGGGCAGGGACCCUUUAGCACCGGUUCUUGUUACCAA